rnacentral:rRNA from 1 species
AGUGAACGCUGGCGGUAGGCCUAACACAUGCAAGUCGAACGGCAGCACAGUAAUAGCUUGCCUUUACGGGGGGCGAGGGGUGGACGGGGGCGAGAUACCUCGGAAGCUGUGUUUUCGUGGGGGAUGACAUAGGGGAACAUACGCCAAUACCGCAUAGGACGUAAGGGUGAGACCUUGGGGCCUUCCGCCCUCGCGCGAGCCUAGGACCGGAGGUCGGAUUAGCUAGUUGGCGGGGUAACGGCCCACCAAGGCGACGAUCCGUAGCUGGUCUGAGAGGAUGAUCAGCCACACUGGAACUGAGACACGGUCCAGACUCCUACGGGAGGCAGCAGUGGGGAAUAUUGGACAAUGGGCGAAAGCCUGAUCCAGCCAUGCCGCGUGUGUGAAGAAGGUCUUCGGAUUGUAAAGCCCUUUUGUUGGGAAGGAAAAGCAGCAGGUUAAUACCCCGCUGUUCUGACGGUACCCAAAGAAUAAGCACCGGCUAACUUCGUG